ensembl:piRNA 21ur-3413 ncRNA
UUCUACCAUUGAUAGGUCAUA